GACGAACGCUGGCGGCGUGCUUAACACAUGCAAGUCGAACGGAAAGGCCCUGCUUUUGUGGGGUCUCGAGUGGCGAACGGGUGAGUAACACGUGAGUAACCUGCCCUUGACUUUGGGAUAACUUCAGGAAACUGGGGCUAAUACCGGAUAGGAGCUCCUGCUGCAUGGUGGGGGUUGGAAAGUUUCGGCGGUUGGGGAUGGACUCGCGGCUUAUCAGCUUGUUGGUGGGGUAGUGGCUUACCAAGGCUUUGACGGGUAGCCGGCCUGAGAGGGUGACCGGCCACAUUGGGACUGAGAUACGGCCCAGACUCCUACGGGAGGCAGCAGUGGGGAAUAUUGCACAAUGGGCGGAAGCCUGAUGCAGCAACGCCGCGUGCGGGAUGACGGCCUUCGGGUUGUAAACCGCUUUCGCCUGUGACGAAGCGUGAGUGACGGUAAUGGGUAAAGAAGCACCGGCUAACUACGUG
rnacentral:rRNA from 1 species